GGCGUCAAUAGUGCAACGGGUUAGAGCACGCACUCGCUGGUAGAGUGAGAUGCGGGUUCAAGUCCCGCCUGUGACGUUA